ACCUAGCACUAUCUCACUCAAGCGAAAAUCCUUUCACUCCGGAGUUUUUUUUUUUUAUAUUUUUUUUACGAAAAUCCCUUCUAAUUCUCUCUCAUUUGCCAUUUAUUCACUCAGAAAUCAGUAGCUGCUGUUCUGAGCACAUUGGUGUCUCACUCUCUCUGCGGCUUUCUGCCAUUUUUAUACAGAAAACUCUGCUACCUCCCAGGUGAUGUAGCUGCAAGCUUACACAUCGUCUGUGAGUUCUGAAUUUUCUGCGCUUUUUUUGCUCCACUCCCAAAAGGCAAAGGGUUUUUCUUGAAUAAUGUAAUCUCGAGUAAAGUUUUCUUCUUUGUUACUUUCGCUAUUUGGUUGCCCAUUUGCUCAAAGGGGUUCUAAAUUAUCUGUAAUUUCAGUCAUGGGAUUUCGCUAAUCUUGCUGCAUAGACUUCCUUUGUCCAGUUUUUUUUUUUCCAAAUUUCGAGUCUUUUGUUUUGUUCUAUCGUAAAAAAGAAGCAUUUUCUUGUGUUUUGUGAGUGCCCAUUUGCUUAAAAUUGUUCUAAACUAUCCCAAAUGCUGUUUACAAUGAUGGGUUUUCGCUAAUUUGCUUGUUCUUGCUGUGAAACCCUCAAAGUCUGGAACUUGAUUGCGAUUUUCGCCAGUUAAAGCUCGCAAAUUUGUACCAAAUGUCUGGUAUUUUAGCAUUUACAUGCACCUGGUAACAGUUAGGUGCCUUUUCUGAUAAGCGAAGGGAUGGAUCUCAGCUUUGUCCAAGUGUACCGCUAGUAGCGUGACUUGAGCACAUGGGAAGUGCUAGCUCAUUUCGUUAAUUUUCAAACUUCCUGAUUGAUUCACAGUGAAUUUGAUUCGCUAAUCCUUGGCUCGUGCAAGAUAUGGAAUCUAAGUAGCUCAAUUUGCCAACUGGUUCUUUUGUUCUCAUAGAAAUAUAUACCACAUUCUUUAUUGAUUCCUUGAAAUGUAAAUUUCACACUUCCUGUAUCUGUUCAUUCAUAUAUAGACCUCAUUAAGGGUCCAUCAUACUGCAACAAUCCAAUGACUCAACACUUUUCUUUCCCGCUUGUUUUUCACCUUCAAAACUCUAUGAUGGUCAAGAAAUCUUUCUCUGUCUGCCCGUAAUAUCGUACGUUUAUAUAUACAUCCUAAAGCAAGAACUAGAAAAGUUUACUUUCUCUUCUUGUUUCCAAAGUAUUGGACUUAUUAUGGAAGAAACAUUUGUUCCCUUUCGCGGGAUAAAGAAUGACCUCAAGGGGAGACUUCUGUGCUACAAACAGGAUUGGACUGGUGGUUUACGCGCGGGAAUCAGGAUCUUGGCGCCAACAACAUACAUAUUCUUUGCUUCAGCAAUUCCAGUUAUCUCCUUUGGGGAACAGCUCGAAAGAAAUACAAAUGGAAGCUUGACUGCUGUACAGACUCUUGCAUCCACAUCACUUUGUGGCAUUAUCCACUCAAUUGUUGGAGGACAGCCCCUGCUUAUACUAGGGGUGGCUGAGCCAACGGUAUUGAUGUAUACAUUUAUGUUCAACUUUGCUAAGGACCAGAAGGAUUUGGGGCAGGAACUCUUCUUAGCCUGGACUGGAUGGGUAUGUAUGUGGACAGCCCUUUUGCUAUUCUUGCUGGCGGUUCUGGGUGCGUGCUCUAUUAUAAAUAGGUUUACGCGUGUUGCUGGUGAAUUGUUUGGCCUGUUAAUUGCAAUGCUUUUUAUGCAGCAGGCCAUAAGGGGACUUGUGGAGGAAUUUGGCAUACCCGAGAGGGAAAAUCUUAAUCAGACUGCACUCCAACCUUCUUGGCGGUUUGGCAAUGGAAUGUUUGCACUAGUUCUGUCAUUUGGCCUGCUUUUAACUGCAUUGAGAAGCCGUAAAGCUAGAUCCUGGUGUUAUGGAACAGGUUGGCUACGGGGAUUAAUUACGGAUUAUGGAGUUCCAUUCAUGGUGCUUGUUUGGACUGCUGUAUCUUACAUACCAGUUAAUGAUGUCCCUAGAGGAAUCCCAAGACGAUUGUUCAGUCCAAACCCAUGGUCUCCUGGUGCAUACUCAAACUGGACAGUUAUCAAGGAGAUGAUGAAUGUACCUCCAUUAUAUAUAGUUGGAGCAUUUAUACCAGCAACUAUGAUCGCUGUGCUCUACUACUUUGAUCACAGUGUUGCAUCUCAACUUGCCCAACAGAAGGAAUUUAAUCUAAAGAAACCGGCUUCAUAUCAUUAUGACCUUCUUCUUCUGGGUUUUCUGGUCAUGUUAUGUGGGCUUAUUGGCAUUCCCCCUUCCAAUGGAGUAAUCCCACAAUCUCCUAUGCAUACAAAAAGCUUAGCUACUCUAAAACAUCAGCUUUUGCGGAAUAAGCUUGCAUCAACAGCUCGAAAUAGUAUACGCAAAAAUUCGAGUUUGAGUGAUUUAUACCAGAGCAUGAAAAAUACAUACAACGGAAUGCAGACUCCACUAGCCUACCAACUUCCAUCUGCUUUGGGACUAAAAGAGCUGAAGGAAUCCACAGUCCAAUUGGCCUCUAGUGCUGGCUACAUUGAUGCCCCUGUUGAUGAGACUCUUUUUGAUGUGGAGAAGGAUAUUGACGAUCUUCUGCCCAUUGAAGUAAAAGAGCAACGUCUCAGCAAUCUGCUUCAAUCAUUGAUGGCUGGUUGUUGUGUAGCUGCUAUGCCUGUUUUGAAGAAAAUCCCAACAUCAGUUCUUUGGGGUUAUUUUGCUUUCAUGGCGAUCGAAAGCUUGCCUGGAAAUCAAUUUUGGGAGAGGAUAUUGUUUCUUUUCACUGCUCCAAGUCGAAGAUACAAGGUGCUGGAGAAGAAUCAUGGAACCUUUCUUGAGAUUGUGCCUUUCAAAACAAUUGUGGCCUUCACAUUGUUCCAGACGGCUUACUUGCUUUUGUGUUUUGGCUUAACAUGGAUCCCGAUUGCUGGGGUGCUAUUCCCAUUGUUGAUCAUGCUUCUAGUCCCGGUGCGGCAGUAUUUUCUCCCCAAGUUUUUCAAAAGAGCUCACCUUCAAGACCUGGAUGCUGCAGAAUAUGAGGAAGCCCCUUCCAUUACUCUCAACCUGUCCCUUGAAGAUCUAGAUCUUCAAUCAAGAACCACCAACAUUGACGGUGGGGAGAUGCUUGACGAAAUUAUCACAAGAAGCCGUGGUGAGAUCCGCCAUACUCACAGUCCAAAAGCAUCAAGUUUGACCCCUACUCCUCCAGAAGGUAGCCCGCGGAUGUCACAGGUAGUGUUCAGCCCCCGUUUAAAUGGACUGAGAGGAGAAAGAAGCCCCCCGACCGAGCGGACAGGGACUUGAAACAACAGAGUCUUCUGGACGAAGCUCUCAUGGUUCUUCAAGCUAAAAUUGCGACUCUGGUGAGAUUAUUUUUGGCAAUGGUCUCGAGAGGUUAUGUACUAAGUUUAUGUGUAACGAAGUGUCAUCUUUUUCGGUGUGUUUCUAACUUUUCGUGAUAAUGUACGACGUUUGUCAAUGUUCUUGUCUCUCGAUUAUCUGGUGGGCAGAGAAGAUGAGUACAAUAAUGCAGGAGCUGUAAUAAUUUUCUCAUUCAAACUAAAUGCGAAAUAUGCAGUCUAUCUCAAUGUUUCCGAAAGUUCA